GGAUGAACGUUGGCGGUGUGCCUAAUACAUGCAAGUCGAACGGAGUUAAUAGCAAUAUUGACUUAGUGGCGAACGGGUGAGUAACGCGUUGGUGAUCUGCCUCGAAGUGUGGAAUAACGUUCCGAAAGGAACGCUAAUACCGCAUGUGCUCUCGAUUUUUAGAAAGUUGAGAGUAAAGGAUUUAUUCGCUUCGAGAGGAGCCUGCGUCCCAUCAGCUGGUCGGUAGGGUAACGGCCUACCAAGGCUAUGACGGGUAGGGGACCUGAGAGGGUGGCCCCCCACAAUGGAACUGAAACACGGUCCAUACACCUACGGGUGGCAGCAGUAGGGAAUAUUAGAAAUGGACGAAAGUCUGAUCUAGCAACACCGCGUGUGCGAAGAAGGCCUUCGGGUCGUAAAGCACUUUUUGGAAGGAAUAGGAAGGAAUGUACUUCCAGAAUAAGUCUCGGCUAACUACGUGCCAGCAGCCGCGGUAACACGUAGGAGGCAAACGUUAUCCGGAUUUACUGGGCGUAAAGCGCGUGUAGGUGGUUCUGUAAGUAGGGCGUGAAAGCUCCCGGCUCAACUGGGAGAGGCCGUUCUAAACUACAGAACUAGAGGAUGGUAGAGGGAGGUGGAAUUCCAGGUGUAGCGGUGGAAUGCGCAGAUAUCUGGAGGAACACCAGUGGCGAAGGCGGCCUCCUGGACCAUUCCUGACACUCAGACGCGAAAGCUAGGGUAGCAAACGGGAUUAGAGACCCCGGUAGUCCUAGCCCUAAACGAUGUAGACUAGGCGUCGGAAGUUUAAUCACUUUCGGUGUCCAAGCUAACGCGAUAAGUCUACCGCCUGGGGACUACGGCCGCAAGGUUAAAACUCAAGGGAAUUGACGGGUCCCCGCACAAGCAGCGGAGCGUGUGGUUUAAUUCGUUGCUACACGAAGAACCUUACCUGGGUUUGACAUAGCAGUGGUAGGGAAGCGAAAGCGGACCGACCCUUCGGGGAGCUGUUACAGGUGUUGCAUGGCUGUCGUCAGCUCGUGUCGUGAGAUGUUCGGUUAAGUCCGCUAACGAGCGCAACCCGCGUUGUGUGUUACAAGUGUCACACAAUACCGCCGGUAUUAAGUCGGAGGAAGGUGCGGAUGACGUCAAGUCAGCAUGACCUUUAUAUCCAGGGCUACACACGCUACAAUGGUCAGCACAAUAGGUUGCCAAGUCGUGAGACGGAGCCAAUCCUCCAAAGCUGGCCUCAGUUCAGAUUGUAGGCUGCAACCCGCCUGCAUGAAGUUGGAGUUGCUAGUAACCGCAGGUCAGCUAUACUGCGGUGAAUACGUUCCCGGGGAU
rnacentral:rRNA from 1 species